rnacentral:rRNA from 1 species
UACGUAGGGUGCGAGCGUUAAUCGGAAUUACUGGGCGUAAAGCGUGCGUAGGCGGUUCGUUAAGUCAGAUGUGAAAGCCCCGGGCUCAACCUGGGAACUGCAUUUGAAACUGGCGGGCUUGAGUGUGGCAGAGGGGGGUGGAAUUCCGCGUGUAGCAGUGAAAUGCGUAGAGAUGCGGAGGAACACCGAUGGCGAAGGCAGCCCCCUGGGCCAACACUGACGCUCAGGCACGGAAGCGUGGGGAGCAAACAGG